CUCCCAAACUUGAUCAGUGACGACAUGUAAAUAAUGUGGGCUUCGUUGAUCACUGGAAUACGUUUUGGGGAGUGCCUGGUCUGACUAGGAGGGACUGCAUCCAUCAAACUUUGGAUGGAGCUCAACUCAUUUCUAAGAACCUGACCCAGUUUCUUAAUGGACUUAAUCCAUGACCCAGAAUUCAGACCAGGAAGCAGAGUUGCAGUCUUACACACUUCUCUGCGCUUCCUUCCGAGCAGUCACUCAGCGUAAUUAACUGUAUAGAAACUGUUUCUGUCCCACGGGCACCGUUAUUUAAGUUAAAGGUAAACAACCGAGGAGUUAUAUUUAAUAACUUAAUCAAAGUUAAAUGUAAUAAUACAACAGUGCAACAAACUAGGAUAAUUAAAGGGGGACUUUUGAAUAUUAGAUCUCUGUGCUCUAAAGCUGUUUAAGUAAAUUAACUAAUAUAUGACAAUGGCUAUCGGAUGGGGAGUACUUUAGCUUAAACGAAGCGACUCCUCCAAGUCAUGUUAAUACUCAUAUCCCCCGAGGCACAGGCCGAGGGGGUGGAGUGGCAGCUAUUUAUGACUCCUGCCUUUUAAUAAACCUUAAACCUAAACUGGAUUAUAACUCAUUUGAAAGUCUGACUUUCAGUCUUUCACAACCAACCUGGAAAAUAAUCCAGCCGUGUCACGGUUUGGUCUCUCUUCCUGUUUUAGUUUGAAGUUUCAUGUUCCUUGUGGUCUUGGGUUAACUUCACUUCCUGCCUUGUCCUGUGAUUGCCUGAGUGUUUCCACCUGUGUCCAAUCACCUGCACCUCCCUUGUGUAUUUAAGCCCUGUGUGCCUGUUGUCCCUUGUUGCGUCAUUGUCUACGUCAGUUGCCGUUGGUGCACGUUCGUCUGUUUGGUGAGUCUUAUGUUUUGGAAUAAAGAGCACGUCUGGAACUCCUGCGUUUGAGUCCUCCCUUCCGCCUGCACCAGCAUCCCACACCUGACAGAAUGACGCGACCACAGAAGGACUCAGCAGGUUUCGAUUCUGACAGCCCUUUUUGGGGAACUCGCCUGGCUCGUGGGGGUCCACGCAGCGUGCAACACCGGCACCGGCUUGCCAGCGGACUCCUGGAGCGACUUGGGGCCCGACUACAUCGAUUUAAGGAGCCCUUUCUUCCAGUGGAAGACUUAUGUCGUUGUUGGCCCCAGGAGCUACCAGGAGGAAUGCUUCGAGCUCCGGGAUCUCCUCAAUCCGAAGAGAAGGAGCCCGGGGGGGAGGAGACGACGAGCCCCCCCAGUCCCGGCACCUGACUCAACCCCCAGACGCCCGUCCCAGCCCGAGUGGGCUCCCAGACGCCCGUCCCAGCCCGAGUGGGCUCCCAGACGCCCGUCCCAGCCCGACCCGGCCCCCAGAGUCUUGUCCCGGCCCCCAGAGUCUUGUCUCCGCCCGUCCCGGCCCCCAGAGUCUUGUCUCCGCCCGUCCCGGCCCCGGCCCCGUCUCCACCCCCCCGACGCCUGUCUCCGCCCGUCCCGUCUCCAGCCCCCCGACGCCUGUCUCCACCCGUCCCGUCUCCAGCCCUGUCCCCACGACCCCUGAUCGUGCCCCCUCCCUCCCGUCCCUUGAUCCCCUCCCCCCCACCCCUGGGGGCCGUCUGGGAGCCGGCCCUUGAGGGGGGGGUGGGGUCAAGGGUUGGGCCGCCGCCGCUGCAGAACCCGGCGCCCCCCGCCACAACGACGCCGCUGCAGAACCCGGCGCCCCCCGCCACAACGACGCCGGAGCCGCACCGCCCGGCGCUCCCCGAGACCCUGAGGCCCGGCCGCCGCCCCGCUAGACCCCCCGAGACCCUGAGGUCCCGGCAGCCGUUCCGGCCGGCCCCCGAAGGACCCGACACAUGGCCGCCAUCACUCGGAGUUCCCCGCGCGGUCCAGGAUCGUCGGGUCCCCACCCUCCCUCCCCUUGUCUGAUUUUCUCCGGUUCUGCUCCCCUUUAGGACCGUCUGGAAUUCGGUCCUUGAGGGGGGGGGGGUUCUGUCACGGCUUGGUCUCUCUUCCUGUUUUAGUUUGAAGUUUCAUGUUCCUUGUGUUCCUGGGUAACUUCACUUCCUGCCUUGUCCUGUGAUAGCCUGAUUGAUUCCACCUGUGUCCAAUCACCUGCACCUCCCUAGUGUAUUUAAGCCCUGUGUGCCUGUUGUCCCUUGUCGCGUCAUUGUCUAACGUCACUCGUUGUUGGAGCACGUCCAGGUUUUGUUUUUGGAAUAAAGAGCACUUUGUCAUCGGAAACCCUGCGUGUGAGUCCUCCCUGCAUCCUGCUCCGGCUGCGAUCCCUGACAGAAUGAUGCGACCAAGAAAGGACUCAGCAGGGUUUUACCCAAAUGAAAAAUAUUUGGGAACUCGCCUUGCGUUUGGGGGACCACGAAGCAUGCAGCAGGCUGCCCGGCGAAACACCAACACCGGCAUGCCAGCGGACUCCUGGAGCGACCUGGGGCCUGACUACCUCGACUUGAGAAGCCCAUUUUUUCAAUGGAAAACGAAUGUUGUUGUUGGCCCCAGGAGCUACCAGGAGAAAUUCUUCAGGCUCCGGGACCUCCUCAAUCCGAGGAGAAGGAGCCGACGAACCCCCCCAGUCCCGGCUCCCGACUCGGCCCCCAGACGCCCGUUCCAGCCUGAGCGGGCCCCAAGACGCCCGUUCCAGCCUGAGCGGCCCCCAAGACGUCCGUCCCAGCCCAGGUGGGCCCCCCGACGCCCGUCUUCGCCCGUUCCGGCCCCCAGAGUCUCGUCUCCGCCCGUUCCGGCCCCCAGACUCCAGUCUCCGCCCGUUCCGGCCCCCAGACUCCAGUCUCUGCCCGUUCCGGCCCCCAGACUCCAGUCUCCGCCCGUUCCGGCCCCCAGACGCCCGUCAGCGCCCGUUCCGGCCCCCAGACGCCCGUCUGCGCCCGUUCCUGCGCUGAGACGCCCGUCAGCCCUGCGUGAUAGAAAUGCUCUGGAGAGACAUUUCUAACGGCGUGCUUGACAGAGAAACCAGUCCCACAGCACACACAGAGAGUCUCCAUGAACACAAGGCACAGCAGGACACAAUACAGCGACACACCCGCUGAGAAGCCAACUCUGGUGAUAGGUAGCUCCAUUCUGAGGAACGUGAAGUUAGCGAAACCAGGGGCCAUAGUCACUUUUACACCCGGGGCCAGAGUGGGCGACAUCGAGUCUUAUCUUAAACUGCUGGCUAAGGAUAAAAGGUAAAUACAGUAAGAUUGUAAUUCAUGUCGGCGGUAAUGACUCCCGGUUACGCCACUCAGAAGUCACAAAAGUUAACGUUGAAUCGGUGUGUACAUACGCUAAAACAAUGUCAGACACCGUAGUUUUCUCUGGCCUCCUCCCAAACUUGAUUUGUGACGACAUGUAUAGCCGCAUGUCGUCAUUCCGCCGCUGGUUGUCGAGGUGGUGCCCAGUAAAUAAUGUGGGCUUCGUUGAUCACUGGAAUACGUUUUGGGGAGUGCCUGGUCUGACUAGGAGGGACGGCAUCCAUCCAACUUUGGAUGGAGCUCAACUCAUUUCUAAGAACCUGACCCAGUUUCUUAAUGGACUUAAUCCAUGACCCAGAAUUCAGACCAGGAAGCAGAGUUGCAGUCUUACACACUUCUCUGCGCUUCCUUCCGAGCAGUCACUCAGCGUAAUUAACUGUAUAGAAACUGUUUCUGUCCCACGGGCACCGUUAUUUAAGUUAAAGGUAAACAACCGAGGAGUUAUAUUUAAUAACUUAAUCAAAGUUAAAUGUAAUAAUACAACAGUGCAACAAACUAGGAUAAUUAAAGGGGGACUUUUGAAUAUUAGAUCUCUGUGCUCUAAAGCUGUUUAAGUAAAUUAACUAAUAUAUGACAAUGGCUAUCGGAUGGGGAGUACUUUAGCUUAAACGAAGCGACUCCUCCAAGUCAUGUUAAUACUCAUAUCCCCCGAGGCACAGGCCGAGGGGGUGGAGUGGCAGCUAUUUAUGACUCCUGCCUUUUAAUAAACCUUAAACCUAAACUGGAUUAUAACUCAUUUGAAAGUCUGACUUUCAGUCUUUCACAACCAACCUGGAAAAUAAUCCAGCCGUGUCACGGUUUGGUCUCUCUUCCUGUUUUAGUUUGAAGUUUCAUGUUCCUUGUGGUCUUGGGUUAACUUCACUUCCUGCCUUGUCCUGUGAUUGCCUGAGUGUUUCCACCUGUGUCCAAUCACCUGCACCUCCCUUGUGUAUUUAAGCCCUGUGUGCCUGUUGUCCCUUGUUGCGUCAUUGUCUACGUCAGUUGCCGUUGGUGCACGUUCGUCUGUUUGGUGAGUCUUAUGUUUUGGAAUAAAGAGCACGUCUGGAACUCCUGCGUUUGAGUCCUCCCUUCCGCCUGCACCAGCAUCCCACACCUGACAGAAUGACGCGACCACAGAAGGACUCAGCAGGUUUCGAUUCUGACAGCCCUUUUUGGGGAACUCGCCUGGCUCGUGGGGGUCCACGCAGCGUGCAACACCGGCACCGGCUUGCCAGCGGACUCCUGGAGCGACUUGGGGCCCGACUACAUCGAUUUAAGGAGCCCUUUCUUCCAGUGGAAGACUUAUGUCGUUGUUGGCCCCAGGAGCUACCAGGAGGAAUGCUUCGAGCUCCGGGAUCUCCUCAAUCCGAAGAGAAGGAGCCCGGGGGGGAGGAGACGACGAGCCCCCCCAGUCCCGGCACCUGACUCAACCCCCAGACGCCCGUCCCAGCCCGAGUGGGCUCCCAGACGCCCGUCCCAGCCCGAGUGGGCUCCCAGACGCCCGUCCCAGCCCGACCCGGCCCCCAGAGUCUUGUCCCGGCCCCCAGAGUCUUGUCUCCGCCCGUCCCGGCCCCCAGAGUCUUGUCUCCGCCCGUCCCGGCCCCGGCCCCGUCUCCACCCCCCCGACGCCUGUCUCCGCCCGUCCCGUCUCCAGCCCCCCGACGCCUGUCUCCACCCGUCCCGUCUCCAGCCCUGUCCCCACGACCCCUGAUCGUGCCCCCUCCCUCCCGUCCCUUGAUCCCCUCCCCCCCACCCCUGGGGGCCGUCUGGGAGCCGGCCCUUGAGGGGGGGGUGGGGUCAAGGGUUGGGCCGCCGCCGCUGCAGAACCCGGCGCCCCCCGCCACAACGACGCCGCUGCAGAACCCGGCGCCCCCCGCCACAACGACGCCGGAGCCGCACCGCCCGGCGCUCCCCGAGACCCUGAGGCCCGGCCGCCGCCCCGCUAGACCCCCCGAGACCCUGAGGUCCCGGCAGCCGUUCCGGCCGGCCCCCGAAGGACCCGACACAUGGCCGCCAUCACUCGGAGUUCCCCGCGCGGUCCAGGAUCGUCGGGUCCCCACCCUCCCUCCCCUUGUCUGAUUUUCUCCGGUUCUGCUCCCCUUUAGGACCGUCUGGAAUUCGGUCCUUGAGGGGGGGGGGGUUCUGUCACGGCUUGGUCUCUCUUCCUGUUUUAGUUUGAAGUUUCAUGUUCCUUGUGUUCCUGGGUAACUUCACUUCCUGCCUUGUCCUGUGAUAGCCUGAUUGAUUCCACCUGUGUCCAAUCACCUGCACCUCCCUAGUGUAUUUAAGCCCUGUGUGCCUGUUGUCCCUUGUCGCGUCAUUGUCUAACGUCACUCGUUGUUGGAGCACGUCCAGGUUUUGUUUUUGGAAUAAAGAGCACUUUGUCAUCGGAAACCCUGCGUGUGAGUCCUCCCUGCAUCCUGCUCCGGCUGCGAUCCCUGACAGAAUGAUGCGACCAAGAAAGGACUCAGCAGGGUUUUACCCAAAUGAAAAAUAUUUGGGAACUCGCCUUGCGUUUGGGGGACCACGAAGCAUGCAGCAGGCUGCCCGGCGAAACACCAACACCGGCAUGCCAGCGGACUCCUGGAGCGACCUGGGGCCUGACUACCUCGACUUGAGAAGCCCAUUUUUUCAAUGGAAAACGAAUGUUGUUGUUGGCCCCAGGAGCUACCAGGAGAAAUUCUUCAGGCUCCGGGACCUCCUCAAUCCGAGGAGAAGGAGCCGACGAACCCCCCCAGUCCCGGCUCCCGACUCGGCCCCCAGACGCCCGUUCCAGCCUGAGCGGGCCCCAAGACGCCCGUUCCAGCCUGAGCGGCCCCCAAGACGUCCGUCCCAGCCCAGGUGGGCCCCCCGACGCCCGUCUUCGCCCGUUCCGGCCCCCAGAGUCUCGUCUCCGCCCGUUCCGGCCCCCAGACUCCAGUCUCCGCCCGUUCCGGCCCCCAGACUCCAGUCUCUGCCCGUUCCGGCCCCCAGACUCCAGUCUCCGCCCGUUCCGGCCCCCAGACGCCCGUCAGCGCCCGUUCCGGCCCCCAGACGCCCGUCUGCGCCCGUUCCUGCGCUGAGACGCCCGUCAGCCCUGCGUGAUAGAAAUGCUCUGGAGAGACAUUUCUAACGGCGUGCUUGACAGAGAAACCAGUCCCACAGCACACACAGAGAGUCUCCAUGAACACAAGGCACAGCAGGACACAAUACAGCGACACACCCGCUGAGAAGCCAACUCUGGUGAUAGGUAGCUCCAUUCUGAGGAACGUGAAGUUAGCGAAACCAGGGGCCAUAGUCACUUUUACACCCGGGGCCAGAGUGGGCGACAUCGAGUCUUAUCUUAAACUGCUGGCUAAGGAUAAAAGGUAAAUACAGUAAGAUUGUAAUUCAUGUCGGCGGUAAUGACUCCCGGUUACGCCACUCAGAAGUCACAAAAGUUAACGUUGAAUCGGUGUGUACAUACGCUAAAACAAUGUCAGACACCGUAGUUUUCUCUGGCCUCCUCCCAAACUUGAUUUGUGACGACAUGUAUAGCCGCAUGUCGUCAUUCCGCCGCUGGUUGUCGAGGUGGUGCCCAGUAAAUAAUGUGGGCUUCGUUGAUCACUGGAAUACGUUUUGGGGAGUGCCUGGUCUGACUAGGAGGGACGGCAUCCAUCCAACUUUGGAUGGAGCUCAACUCAUUUCUAAGAACCUGACCCAGUUUCUUAAUGGACUUAAUCCAUGACCCAGAAUUCAGACCAGGAAGCAGAGUUGCAGUCUUACACACUUCUCUGCGCUUCCUUCCGAGCAGUCACUCAGCGUAAUUAACUGUAUAGAAACUGUUUCUGUCCCACGGGCACCGUUAUUUAAGUUAAAGGUAAACAACCGAGGAGUUAUAUUUAAUAACUUAAUCAAAGUUAAAUGUAAUAAUACAACAGUGCAACAAACUAGGAUAAUUAAAGGGGGACUUUUGAAUAUUAGAUCUCUGUGCUCUAAAGCUGUUUAAGUAAAUUAACUAAUAUAUGACAAUGGCUAUCGGAUGGGGAGUACUUUAGCUUAAACGAAGCGACUCCUCCAAGUCAUGUUAAUACUCAUAUCCCCCGAGGCACAGGCCGAGGGGGUGGAGUGGCAGCUAUUUAUGACUCCUGCCUUUUAAUAAACCUUAAACCUAAACUGGAUUAUAACUCAUUUGAAAGUCUGACUUUCAGUCUUUCACAACCAACCUGGAAAAUAAUCCAGCCGUGUCACGGUUUGGUCUCUCUUCCUGUUUUAGUUUGAAGUUUCAUGUUCCUUGUGGUCUUGGGUUAACUUCACUUCCUGCCUUGUCCUGUGAUUGCCUGAGUGUUUCCACCUGUGUCCAAUCACCUGCACCUCCCUUGUGUAUUUAAGCCCUGUGUGCCUGUUGUCCCUUGUUGCGUCAUUGUCUACGUCAGUUGCCGUUGGUGCACGUUCGUCUGUUUGGUGAGUCUUAUGUUUUGGAAUAAAGAGCACGUCUGGAACUCCUGCGUUUGAGUCCUCCCUUCCGCCUGCACCAGCAUCCCACACCUGACAGAAUGACGCGACCACAGAAGGACUCAGCAGGUUUCGAUUCUGACAGCCCUUUUUGGGGAACUCGCCUGGCUCGUGGGGGUCCACGCAGCGUGCAACACCGGCACCGGCUUGCCAGCGGACUCCUGGAGCGACUUGGGGCCCGACUACAUCGAUUUAAGGAGCCCUUUCUUCCAGUGGAAGACUUAUGUCGUUGUUGGCCCCAGGAGCUACCAGGAGGAAUGCUUCGAGCUCCGGGAUCUCCUCAAUCCGAAGAGAAGGAGCCCGGGGGGGAGGAGACGACGAGCCCCCCCAGUCCCGGCACCUGACUCAACCCCCAGACGCCCGUCCCAGCCCGAGUGGGCUCCCAGACGCCCGUCCCAGCCCGAGUGGGCUCCCAGACGCCCGUCCCAGCCCGACCCGGCCCCCAGAGUCUUGUCCCGGCCCCCAGAGUCUUGUCUCCGCCCGUCCCGGCCCCCAGAGUCUUGUCUCCGCCCGUCCCGGCCCCGGCCCCGUCUCCACCCCCCCGACGCCUGUCUCCGCCCGUCCCGUCUCCAGCCCCCCGACGCCUGUCUCCACCCGUCCCGUCUCCAGCCCUGUCCCCACGACCCCUGAUCGUGCCCCCUCCCUCCCGUCCCUUGAUCCCCUCCCCCCCACCCCUGGGGGCCGUCUGGGAGCCGGCCCUUGAGGGGGGGGUGGGGUCAAGGGUUGGGCCGCCGCCGCUGCAGAACCCGGCGCCCCCCGCCACAACGACGCCGCUGCAGAACCCGGCGCCCCCCGCCACAACGACGCCGGAGCCGCACCGCCCGGCGCUCCCCGAGACCCUGAGGCCCGGCCGCCGCCCCGCUAGACCCCCCGAGACCCUGAGGUCCCGGCAGCCGUUCCGGCCGGCCCCCGAAGGACCCGACACAUGGCCGCCAUCACUCGGAGUUCCCCGCGCGGUCCAGGAUCGUCGGGUCCCCACCCUCCCUCCCCUUGUCUGAUUUUCUCCGGUUCUGCUCCCCUUUAGGACCGUCUGGAAUUCGGUCCUUGAGGGGGGGGGGGUUCUGUCACGGCUUGGUCUCUCUUCCUGUUUUAGUUUGAAGUUUCAUGUUCCUUGUGUUCCUGGGUAACUUCACUUCCUGCCUUGUCCUGUGAUAGCCUGAUUGAUUCCACCUGUGUCCAAUCACCUGCACCUCCCUAGUGUAUUUAAGCCCUGUGUGCCUGUUGUCCCUUGUCGCGUCAUUGUCUAACGUCACUCGUUGUUGGAGCACGUCCAGGUUUUGUUUUUGGAAUAAAGAGCACUUUGUCAUCGGAAACCCUGCGUGUGAGUCCUCCCUGCAUCCUGCUCCGGCUGCGAUCCCUGACAGAAUGAUGCGACCAAGAAAGGACUCAGCAGGGUUUUACCCAAAUGAAAAAUAUUUGGGAACUCGCCUUGCGUUUGGGGGACCACGAAGCAUGCAGCAGGCUGCCCGGCGAAACACCAACACCGGCAUGCCAGCGGACUCCUGGAGCGACCUGGGGCCUGACUACCUCGACUUGAGAAGCCCAUUUUUUCAAUGGAAAACGAAUGUUGUUGUUGGCCCCAGGAGCUACCAGGAGAAAUUCUUCAGGCUCCGGGACCUCCUCAAUCCGAGGAGAAGGAGCCGACGAACCCCCCCAGUCCCGGCUCCCGACUCGGCCCCCAGACGCCCGUUCCAGCCUGAGCGGGCCCCAAGACGCCCGUUCCAGCCUGAGCGGCCCCCAAGACGUCCGUCCCAGCCCAGGUGGGCCCCCCGACGCCCGUCUUCGCCCGUUCCGGCCCCCAGAGUCUCGUCUCCGCCCGUUCCGGCCCCCAGACUCCAGUCUCCGCCCGUUCCGGCCCCCAGACUCCAGUCUCUGCCCGUUCCGGCCCCCAGACUCCAGUCUCCGCCCGUUCCGGCCCCCAGACGCCCGUCAGCGCCCGUUCCGGCCCCCAGACGCCCGUCUGCGCCCGUUCCUGCGCUGAGACGCCCGUCAGCCCUGCGUGAUAGAAAUGCUCUGGAGAGACAUUUCUAACGGCGUGCUUGACAGAGAAACCAGUCCCACAGCACACACAGAGAGUCUCCAUGAACACAAGGCACAGCAGGACACAAUACAGCGACACACCCGCUGAGAAGCCAACUCUGGUGAUAGGUAGCUCCAUUCUGAGGAACGUGAAGUUAGCGAAACCAGGGGCCAUAGUCACUUUUACACCCGGGGCCAGAGUGGGCGACAUCGAGUCUUAUCUUAAACUGCUGGCUAAGGAUAAAAGGUAAAUACAGUAAGAUUGUAAUUCAUGUCGGCGGUAAUGACUCCCGGUUACGCCACUCAGAAGUCACAAAAGUUAACGUUGAAUCGGUGUGUACAUACGCUAAAACAAUGUCAGACACCGUAGUUUUCUCUGGCCUCCUCCCAAACUUGAUUAGUGACGACAUGUAUAGCCGCAUGUCGUCAUUCCGCCGCUGGUUGUCGAGGUGGUGCCCAGUAAAUAAUGUGGGCUUCGUUGAUCACUGGAAUACGUUUUGGGGAGUGCCUGGUCUGACUAGGAGGGACGGCAUCCAUCCAACUUUGGAUGGAGCUCAACUCAUUUCUAAGAACCUGACCCAGUUUCUUAAUGGACUUAAUCCAUGACCCAGAAUUCAGACCAGGAAGCAGAGUUGCAGUCUUACACACUUCUCUGCGCUUCCUUCCGAGCAGUCACUCAGCGUAAUUAACUCUAUAGAAACUGUUUCUGCCCCACAGACACCGUUAUUUAAGUUAAAGGUAAACAACCGAGGAGUUAUAUUUAAUAACUUAAUCAAAGUUAAAUGUAACAAUACAACAGUGCAACAAACUAGGAGAAUUAAAGGGGGACUUUUGAAUAUUAGAUCUCUGUGCUCUAAAGCUGUUUUAGUAAAUGAACUAAUAUCUGACAACCAUGUUGAUAUUUUCUGUCUUACUGAAACAUGGCUAUCGGAUGGGGAGUACUUUAGCUUAAAUGAAGCGACUCCUCCAAGUCAUUUUAAUACUCAUAUCCCCCGAGGCACAGGCCGAGGGCCUUGUUUUGGGCCUCGUUUUGCACAUGGAUCUGUUGUCUGUUCUGUGUAUGUGAGAGAUAGCCACGCCCCCUGAUUUGCAUAUAAGAAUGUGAAAUGAAAUACAGUGCCAUUAUGAAAUACAGUGGCAUUAUGAAAUAAAGUGCCAUUAUGAAAUAAA